AUUGAACGCUGGCGGCAUGCCUUACACAUGCAAGUCGAACGGUAACAGGUCUUCGGAUGCUGACGAGUGGCGAACGGGUGAGUAAUACAUCGGAACGUGCCUAGUAGUGGGGGAUAACUGCUCGAAAGAGCAGCUAAUACCGCAUACGACCUGAGGGAGAAAGGGGGGGAUCGCAAGACCUCUCGCUAUUGGAGCGGCCGAUAUCAGAUUAGCUAGUUGGUGGGGUAACGGCCUACCAAGGCAACGAUCUGUAGUUGGUCUGAGAGGACGACCAGCCACACUGGGACUGAGACACGGCCCAGACUCCUACGGGAGGCAGCAGUGGGGAAUUUUGGACAAUGGCGCAAGCCUGAUCCAGCAAUGCCGCGUGCAGGAAGAAGGCCUUCGGGUUGUAAACUGCUUUUGUCAGGGAAGAAAUCUUCUGGGCUAAUACCCCGGGAGGAUGACGGUACCUGAAGAAUAAGCACCGGCUAACUACGUGCCAGCCGCCGCCGUAA
rnacentral:rRNA from 1 species